rnacentral:rRNA from 1 species
UACGAAGGGGGCUAGCGUUGCUCGGAAUCACUGGGCGUAAAGGGUGCGUAGGCGGGUCUUUUAAGUCAGGGGUGAAAUCCUGGAGCUCAACUCCAGAACUGCCUUUGAUACUGAGGAUCUUGAGUUCGGGAGAGGUGAGUGGAACUGCGAGUGUAGAGGUGAAAUUCGUAGAUAUUCGCAAGAACACCAGUGGCGAAGGCGGCUCACUGGCCCGAUACUGACGCUGAGGCACGAAAGCGUGGGGAGCAAACAGGAUUAGAAACCCCGGGGUAGUCCCAGGCACGAU